GAAAUUCUUUGUUGGGGAGAGUAUUCUGCUAGGACUGCUGUAAAAUACUCCCCAUUUCCAACAAACCUUCCUUUUGUGCUUUUAAAAUUUCUUGUUACUGUUUUUUUCAGAGGGAAGAUCAGUCUGAAUUAUGUUGCUAGAAAAAAAGUUCAAACUUUGGUUUGGAUACAAAAAUAAAUUCUGAAUCUAAUUGACCACAUCCAACAUGAGUUAAUAUUUGGCAAUUUUGAUAAAUUCCAUCUUCCAGGUUUUUGUGCUUUUCUGUUUAAGUUUCAGACAGACGUUCCAGGGGAAUUUUAAAAUUGUCUUGGAACCCUUGAUGGUAGAUUGUAAGAAGCAGGUACUGGGGAAAAAGAUUGCAGGCAGGGCAAAGAGCUUUUCUCUUUCUGCUUUCCUUUUUAGUUGUGUAGUGAGAAGAAAGCAACGGUAAUGAGUGCAAUUGUGCCAGUGACACCCUAAAAACCAGCUGGAACUCAUAUUUAACUCUUACACUUCUUUAUGAUUACUUUUUGUUGUAAUAUGAAGAGAUUAGAAAAUGGGGUUCUGGAAAAAUUAGCAAGUCCAAUUUCAGAGGGUUAAUAAGGAUCAUUAAUUUCCAGUGAUUACUGCAGAGCAUGCUCACCUGUGCCUGUAGCUGUGCUGUUUGGCUGCCUCGGGUCCUCGCAGAGCCUCGUGGCUCCUGUGCAGGGACCUGCUGGUGCGAAAGGGGAGCCUGCUGCGGGUGCUGCGAGGAGGCUGCUGGGGAAGUUCCCCGACGUGGCUGCAUGGCUCUGGGCAUGCAGGUCUAAAACCGCUCCGUACUCUCGAUGUUUCUGCUCUCCACGUGGCUGUGCUGCAGGGCUGGGGCUUCAGUGCUGAGCCGGGCCGGGUGCGGUGCGCCACGGUCACAAUCUGCACGGUCACGAUCCUCACGGUUGUGAUCCACACGCUCACGAUCCUCACGCUCACGAUCCCCACCCGCGAGCAGCCCCUGGGGGUGCCUGCCUGGUUCCGCUGUGCCGCGGGUGGAUGCAGAGCGCAGCCAGGGCACAGCACGAGGGGCGAGCGCGUCACUACAGAGGAAAUGGCAGCAGAGGAGUUGGAUUUUGCCCAUCCUUCUGGAAGCUUCUCUGAUGUUUUUCCAUUGGCUGCAGGUGCUUAGAGGGGUGAAGUUCCUUUUGCAGUCCCAAGCCAAGCGCACCGUGUGGAGGCGUCCUCAGCAUCCUCCCGUCGGAGCAGCAGGAGCAUCGCGCCCCGGGACGCGCGUGGUGCGGCUGCACCUUGGGAUGUCGAGUUCAGUCCUGGGCACCUCCAGACUGAGCGAUAUUGACAAGCCAGAAGGAGAUUAGAGAAGAGCAACAAAAAGGAUUAAGGGGCUGAGGGGAUUGAUUUAUAAGAAAAGAUUAAAAGAGCUAAAUAUGUGUAGCUUGGCAAAGAGAUGAGUACCAGAAGGCAUGAUAACAGUCUACAAAUGUUUGAAGAUGUAAACAUAAAGGGGCUGAUCCCGCAGACCUCACUUUCAUAAUGUCCCUGCAAAAUCAAUAGGCGUCAGGUACAGUGUUUGCAGGACUGAACCCCAAUAGCAAACUAAAACUGGAUUUGUUAAUAUAUGUAUAUUGAAUGCUAUUUUAUAUAUAUGCGUAUACAUAUUUGGGAAGCAGAUGAAAUAAUUUGAAUAUCAGAAAGGAAUUUCUAACACUGAUAUAAUGACAUUUUAGGCUUCUCUUGAGAUGGAAGAUACCAAAUCAUUAGGCCUGGAUGUUUAGUCUGAAAAGCUUAUGGGAUGAUGAGAGAAGGGUGAUGUGCAUCAGCAGAGGGGUUGCAUGGCUUUCCUCUGUCAGGGUUUAAUUUUGCUAACUGGUGUGAUUCUGCAAAAUCAGAGUCAAGAAUUCUUAUAAGUCAGGAGCAGAAAUUUACUGUCAGGCUUCCUCUGUGGCUUUUUUUCCUUUUGUAUACAUGGCCAUAGGUGGUUACAAUGUUGGUAAUGCAAUAAUGGAUGCAAAACUCCAAGUUUCUUCCAGGGAUUAUUGAAUGCAUAAGCAACAGGAUUAGUUUCACUUACUGUACUUUUGAACUUUGGCCUGGGUCCUGUUUAGAGAGUCAGAAAAUGAAUGUAUGGCUAUGACACCCUCAGAGCAGGUACAUGGUUCUCUACCAUAGCUUCCUGCUUGGAGACAUUUAUUUAUUUAUUUAUUAGAUUAUAUUUACUUGGUAUUGUUCCCAACUGUCACCCUGAAAUUAAUAUUCCAAACUGGGGCAGCUUCUAAGCUACUGCUCACCCUUCUCUGAGCUGGAAGAAAGAAUUAUGUUCCCUUCAGUGUGUUCAACAAGUCCAGUUAUUUCCCUUCUUUUCAAAAAGACUCCAACUGAACAUAAAUCUGUCUCCAUCUGUGACAGCCCACAGUCAUCUGUUUACCAAAAUAAACUUUAAGCAUAUAUUGAAAAAUAAUUCCUA
rnacentral:lncRNA from 1 species